GACGAAGGGGGCUAGCGUUGUUCGGAAUUACUGGGCGUAAAGCGCGUGUAGGCGGUUGUCCAAGUUGGAUGUGAAAGCCUUGAGCUUAACUCAAGAAAUGCAUUCAGGACUGGAUGACUAGAGGACCGGAGAGGAUAGUGGAAUUCCCAGUGUAGUAGUGAAAUACGUAGAGAUUGGGAAGAACACCAGUGGCGAAGGCGGCUAUCUGGACGGUUUCUGACGCUAAGACGCGAAAGCGUGGGGAGCAAACAGG
rnacentral:rRNA from 1 species